rnacentral:lncRNA from 1 species
AUGUCUUUCUCGCAGAACAACCUCUUCAGAAAUAAGCCCUCCAGAGGGACUUUCCCCAUGACAUUACUGAAGAUGUACUUCCGUGCCCACACAGGCAGCCUUAUAUCACAACCCAGCAAUGAUCACCAGCAGCAGCAGCACCGCCCAGAGGCUGCUGAAGUGCAGAAGGAGUUGGGAACUGGACUUUUUUUUAUUACCCGCUUAAGGGCAAAGAUCACAGACUACAUGUGUUCCAAAGCCAAAAAUAUAAAGGAUUUCAAACUAUGGCUUGCAUUACUUCAAAAAAAAAAAGAAGAAAAUAAAAUUUCUUUGUGGCAUCAUGACCAAUCAUGGGCUAGCAAAUGUCACAACUCAGCCAAGCCUUAUGUCCAAAACUAUUGUCACCAGUGUAUGUGGAGGAGCUCUGGGCUAUGUUACAUGCACAGCCACACAGUGACCUUCCCACUUGGAAAAAGCUCUGGGUACACAGAAUCACAGAAUGGUUGAAGCUGGAAGGGACCUUUGGAGAUCGUCUGGUCCAACACCCCUGCCAAGCAGUGUUGCCAAGAGCACACUGUGCAGGAUGGCAUCCAGGAUUGUUUUCAGUAUCUCCAGAGAAGGAGACUCCACAGCCUCUCUGGGCAACCUGUCCUAGUGCUCUGUCACCCUCACAGUAAAGUGCCCCCUCAUAUUCACAGGGAAAUUCCUGUGUUUACACACCUGGAUUAUUUCCCUCUGUGCCCCAUCCUUCUAAACUACACACAUAAGUUUGUGUCUGCAGUUAACAGGUGAAGACAAAUCUGUGUAUGAUCAAUUUUGCCAAGGAUCUGGAACCUAUGUUAUAAAAACAUACCUCGAGUGUAUUCAGUGUUACUGAGAUUAUCAACCCUGCGUCAGUUUUUAGCUCCAAACUAAUUUUAAUGGCUGAACUGUAAGCACUCGAACAACAGGGUAAUGGAAAUACUCACAGGCCCUUAUCUGCAGCAGCUCUGCUGGCUGCUGUUAUGAUGCUGUUGCUCACUUCUAACAUCUUUUUUUUUCCCCAGAAAAAUCUUUGCCUGUCACCUAGUUAUCUGCAGGACGAGCAGAACAGGGAUUGAGAAAUGUGCAGCAAAAUUGUUUCAGAUCCAUGGAGGCUCCACUAAUGAAUCAUCAAAGCUUUCCCUGCCAGGGAACACAUUUCUAAACCUAAUCACAGCCUGAGCACUCCUUCUCCUCUGUCCUCAUCAGAGUGUCAAAUCAAGAAGAGGAGUCCACUGACUGCCCCCUCCCAGCCCUCAGAUCACAUCCCUGCACCACAGAGCGGUUGGGAUAGCGCAAGGUGACCCUGGCAGGGUGGGACAUGGACUUAGCACCAUCCCCAGGGAAAGAACAAGCAUGGGGAUUCGAGGUCCUGCCUGCCCCCGGCACCACACCGCUUACAGCAGGCAAACCACUCCUGCAAAUCAUGAUGAGAUCAGCACAGGGCUGGCCCUAAGACCUUGUGGACCUAUCAGUUUAACAAAAUCAGCACCCCUUUGGCUUUUGAUUUAUAUACCACGUAUGUCUGACUAGAGUGCUUGUGAGUAGCACUAAUUGGAAAUGCCACAGGAAUGAGCAAUGCCCUCUGUGUUAAAACACAGAGCUCACACAAACAAUUAGCGUUCAAUACAAAAUCAAGGAAUUGCUUCAUCGGGCUAAGGAUGCAUGCAACUGGCAUGAUGGACCAAUAAACAACAGCUCCCUUCAUCUGCUCCA